AGUUCGAGUGCACGGCUACGGAUCGUGCGUUGAAAUUACAUAAAGAAGAAAACGGAAGUUGAAGGGAAGUCUGGAACCGAACCGAACCAAUCGCUUUGACAGAGUUGAGUUAGACCUUUAAAGUAACUACGUGACGCCGUGGUCAGCGACCCGCGCUUGUUGACCUCCAGAAUUGUGAACAAGAUACUGCUCAAUAAUGCGUAAUGGUUUCCAGUGGAGACCCAGGCAUCCGUCUGCAGGAUGUCAGCAGGAGGAGAAGCAGGAGUUCUGCAACACACUAAAUGAGGUGAUGGAGAACGCUACCCAGAGGUGGAGGAUCAUGACAGGAGCAGACUUCAGUGGCCGUGAGGGAGAAGAAAACCGAGGAGAUGAGGAAGUGUUGCCCAGGUAUGGAGUCCAUGACAGAAAUGUUACAGAUGGACAAGGUAGCGGUGAACACUACAACUACAACAGGAUGAGUGUGUGUUGUGAAGUGCUUGUCUGAAAAGUUUAAAUAAGUAGGGAUGGCCUUUGUACUUUGCCAGUUAACUGUUCUAGUGUACUUCAUGACACAACUUCAUUCCUCCGCGUAUUGAAUUUCUAAUCUUUUCUUUAUUUUUAUGUCUUUGUAUUUCAUUUUGAGUGACCUAACUUACUAUUCUCACUCUGGAUCGGGAGGAGCCCAGUGAUCGACCACACCUUUGGGAGUGGCAGGUGACUGUAACUGGCCCUAAAUGGGGACACUCCCAAACAGGCAAAAUGAAAAAAUGGAAAUUGUGCAGUGCCAGGGCAACAAGUUAGCUGGGAAUCGUCAUUUGAGAAUCGGAGAGCAUAGAGACCGAGGAGCGAACAUGCAAUCUGAAGGUCAGGCUUCGCGUUUGAGCAGUUAAAACGUCAGAGUGAAAGUGACUCCAGGCUCUUAGCUGUGCCGUGGUACGUGAAGAUCUCGAGGUGCGUACAUACCAGGAUUGGUACCUUGGAACUAGUGUGUGGCCUUCAGCAGUCACAGUUGGCUCUACUGCCUUCAGGGUUGACCUCCGCCAGGAACUGAAGAUUGGUGUCAUGAUGACGUACCAGGGCACAAAGCUCUUUGAAGGCAGAAUCCCCCCUCUGAUGACAAGAUAAAUGGCUUGAGGUGGGUCAGAGGGGCAGCAAUCUUACUACUAUCCUGAGUAAGAGAUCUAGACAAAUCAAUCUUGGCCAUGUCUGGAAGAGGCUGACCCUCUCCUCGGAUGAAACCGAUAGAGUAAACACUUGAGACUCUAAAUUCAAACCUUUCAGCAUAGCAGAACAGUCAGUUUGCCAAAUGGCUCUGAAGAAUGUGUCAAGCGCUCGUGUUCUGUAAAAUGAUGGGUGCUUUGAAGCUUGCGUUUUGUGAAUAAACACGCCAUAUUCAGGGGUUCAAAAGAGGCAUCUGUGACAGGAAGA